CACUAUUUUUAUACUUACGGCUAUAUUAUACUGUUUGUUCUUUUAAAAUAUUUACGAGUACCUAUCUGUUUGUUUCAUAAAAUACAUCAUUGAUUUUGGUGUCAUGUAUUUUGAUUUCGGUAUAUUUAUAGUGGCCAUAGUGAAGUAAAAUAAAAUAAAUCAAAAGCGACACGAGGGCGUAUCAAACCAAACGCGUGGGUAACUUUGUCUGUAAAACAAACGUUAAUGCUUAAGAGGUAUUUAUUUUCAAAUAAAUACGAACCAAACGGAUUACUUAAUGUUGUUCGGGUACCUAAUUAAAUUUAAAUCCAUUCGGAACUAUCAACGAUAAAGCAAUGACAUUAGCUGUUUCAAUGAACUGAGUUAUGAAAAAUCAUUUGCUAAU